rnacentral:rRNA from 1 species
UACGUAGGUGGCAAGCGUUGUCCGGAUUUACUGGGCGUAAAGAGCGCGCAGGCGGUUGGAUAAGUCGAAUGUGAAAGCCCCCGGCUUAACUGGGGAGGGUCAUUCGAUACUGUUCAACUUGAAGGCAGGAGAGGGCAGCAGAAUUCCCGGUGUAGUGGUGAAAUGCGUAGAUAUCGGGAGGAACAUCGAUGGCGAAAGCAACCGUCUGGGCCUGAACUGACACUGUGACACGAAAGCGUGGGGAGCAAACAGG